CCAGGGGGCCGGGCAGCCGCGUGCCGCAAGGCGCGAGGAAAGUCCGGGCUCCACGAAGCAAGGGUGGCGGGUAACGCCCGCCGGGGGUGACCCCAGGGAAAGUGCCACAGAGAGUAUACCGCCGAUGGUCCCUAAAGGGCUCAGGCAAGGGUGAAAGGGUGCGGUAAGAGCGCACCGGGGCGCUGGCAACAGGGUCCGCAUGGCAAACCCCACCCGGAGCAAGGCCGAAUAGGGGCGGCGCGCCGCAAGGCAGGUGUGUUUCGCAUCGACCGCCCGGGUUGGCUGCUUGAGCCAUGGAGCGAUCCAUGGCCCAGACGAAUGGCUGCCCCUGCGGAUACGGUCCGGUUAUCGGAUACCGUCGGCAGGACAGAACCCGGCUUACAGGCCCCCUGGCACC
rnacentral:RNase_P_RNA from 1 species